rnacentral:rRNA from 1 species
GACGAACGCUGGCGGCGUGCUUAACACAUGCAAGUCGAGCGGAAAGGCCCUUCGGGGUACUCGAGCGGCGAACGGGUGAGUAACACGUGAGUAACCUGCCCUGGACUUUGGGAUAACCCUCGGAAACGGGGGCUAAUACCGAAUACGACUUUUCCUCGCAUGAGGUUUGGUGGAAAGUUUUUCGGUCUGGGAUGGGCUCGCGGCCUAUCAGCUUGUUGGUGGGGUGGAUGGCCUACCAAGGCGACGACGGGUAGCCGGCCUGAGAGGGCGGACCGGCCACACUGGGACUGAGACACGGCCCAGACUCCUACGGGAGGCAGCAGUGGGGAAUAUUGCACAAUGGGCGGAAGCCUGAUGCAGCGACGCCGCGUGAGGGAUGACGGCCUU